CGAAACACGCUGAAUCUCCAGGAUUUACAAGUCUCGAAUCAAUAAGCAUUCCCUAGAGUCGAAAACUACGCAGAACUAACACCUACAAGAUCCGUUUGCCAUUCGCGAAAAAAGGGAAAAGCAAAGAAAAAGAAAAGGGCCAAGCUUCCCUAAACACGCACUGACCGAGUUUUUCGAAACUAAAGCUCGCGGAAAGAAAUUUGGCUUCGAAUGAUAAACCAGGAGAAACUUGAGGCAGCUGAAUAAAUGAUGGAACUUCGUUUUCAAGGAAAGCAAUUGGAGUCAAUAAAUAAGCAUUACC
rnacentral:misc_RNA from 1 species